rnacentral:tRNA from 1 species
CAAGUCGGAUCGCCCUGACGCCCAACAGCUAGCCCACCUAAACAAAAACAACAAACCACUAUCAAUAACCCCUAAU